GGGAAUGUAGCUGAGUUGGUUUUAGCGUCAGGUUGAAGCCCUGAAGACACAGGUUCAAUUCCUGUUAUUCCCA
rnacentral:tRNA from 1 species